rnacentral:rRNA from 1 species
CCCAAACCAAUAAAGUUCUCUUUAUUGGGGUUGCGGACAUAUCAUAACGAAGAGGUAUCGUAAUUGAAGAGGUUUGGCAAGACCUACCACAGAAGGUCAUAGUCCUGUAUGUUAAACGAGAAGACUUUAGAUAUGAUCCAGAGUACCACGGGACACGUGAAACCCUGUGGGAAGCAGGAGGGACCACCCUCAAAGGCUAAAUACUACCUAGUGACCGAUAGCGUAUAGUACCGUGAGGGAAAGGUGAAAAGAACCCCGGGAGGGGAGUGAAAUAGAACCUGAAACCCUGCACUUACAAGCUGUGGAAGCACAUUUCUUGUGUGACCGCGUACUUUUUGUAGAACGGGCCAACGAGUUACGUUAAGUAGCAAGGUUAAGCACUUAAGGUGUGGAGCCGUAGCGAAAGCGAGUUUUAACUGAGCGUUCAGUUACUUGACGUAGACCCGAAACCGGGCGACCUACCCAUGAGCAGGAUGAAGCGAAAGUAAAAUUUCGUGGAGGUCCGAACCCACGAGCGUUGACAAGCUCGGGGAUGACUUGUUGGUAGCGGUGAAAUUCCAAUCGAGCCCGGAUAUAGCUGGUUCUCCCCGAAAUAGCUUUAGGGCUAGCCUCAAGGUGAGAGAUACGGAGGUAGAGCACUGAAUGUCCUAGGGGGUAUUGCACCUACCGAAGACUAUCAAACUCCGAAUGCCGUCAUCUUAUACUUGGGAGUCAGACUGUGGGUGAUAAGAUUCAUAGUCGAAAGGGCAACAGCCCAGAUCGUCAGCUAAGGUCCCUAAAUGUAAGUUAAGUGGUAAAGGAUGUGGGAUUGCACAGACAACCAGGAUGUUGGCUUAGAAGCAGCCACUCAUUCAAAGAGUGCGUAAUAGCUCACUGGUCGAGUGAUCCUGCGCCGAAGAUUUCCGGGGCUAAA